UUGUACCUACGGGAGGCAGCAGUGGGGAAUAUUGGGCAAUGGGCGCAAGCCUGACCCAGCAACGCCGCGUGAAGGAAGAAGGCUUUCGGGUUGUAAACUUCUUUUGACAGGGAAGAGCAGAAGACGGUACCUGUCGAAUAAGCCACGGCUAACUACGUGCCAGCAGCCGCGGUAAUACGUAGGUGGCAAGCGUUAUCCGGAUUUACUGGGUGUAAAGGGCGUGUAGGCGGGGAAGCAAGUCAGAUGUGAAAUUCCAGGGCUCAACCCUGGAACUGCAUUUGAAACUGUAGUUCUUGAGUGAUGGG
rnacentral:rRNA from 1 species